GUAGGUGGCAAGCGUUGUCCGGAAUUAUUGGGCGUAAAGGGCGCGUAGGCGGUACCUUAAGUCAGAUGUGAAAACCCGAGGCUUAACUUCGGAGGUGCAUUUGAAACUGGGGAACUAGAGUGCAGGAGAGGUAAGUGGAAUUCCUAGCGUAGCGGUGAAAUGCGUAGAUAUUAGGAGGAACACCAGUGGCGAAGGCGACUUACUGGACUGUAACUGACGCUGAGGCGCGAAAGCGUGGGGAGCAAACAGGAUUAGAUACCCUGGUAGUCCACGCUGUAAACGAUGGAUACUAGGUGUGGGAGGUAUCGACCCCUUCCGUGCCGCAGUAAACGCAAUAAGUAUCCCGCCUGGGGAGUACGGCCGCAAGGUUG
rnacentral:rRNA from 1 species